GGGGAUUUAGUUCAGUGGCAUAAGCACCUGCCUUGCAAGCAGGAAGUCGCGAGUUCAAUCCCCA
rnacentral:tRNA from 1 species